rfam:Gemmatimonadetes bacterium RIFCSPLOWO2_02_FTLL_71_11 rifcsplowo2_02_scaffold_23056, whole genome shotgun sequence.
GGGUGGUUAGCUCAGCUGGUUAGAGCGCUGGUCUCACAUACCAGAGGUCGGGGGUUCGAGUCCCUCACCGCCCA